GAUGAACGCUGGCGGCGUGCCUAAUACAUGCCAGUCGAGCGAACGGACGAGAAGCUUGCUUCUCUGAUGUUAGCGGCGGACGGGUGAGUAACACGUGGAUAACCUACCUAUAAGACUGGGAUAACUUCGGGAAACCGUAGCUAAUACCGGAUAAUAUUUUGAACCGCAUGGUUCAAAAGUGAAAGACGGUCUUGCUGUCACUUAUAGAUGGAUCCGCGCUGCAUUAGCUAGUUGGUAAGGUAACGGCUUACCAAGGCAACGAUGCAUAGCCGACCUGAGAGGGUGAUCGGCCACACUGGAACUGAGACACGGUCCAGACUCCUACGGGAGGCAGCAGUAGGGAAUCUUCCGCAAUGGGCGAAAGCCUGACGGAGCAACGCCGCGUGAGUGAUGAAGGUCUUCGGAUCGUAAAACUCUGUUAUUAGGGAAGAACAUAUGUGUAAGUAACUGUGCACAUCUUGACGGUACCUGAUCAGAAAGCCACGGCUAACUACGUG
rnacentral:rRNA from 1 species